rnacentral:misc_RNA from 1 species
AGAAAAGCGAAAAAGAUCCCAUCUUCUUGGGCGCCAGUAACAUGGCUCCCCAUCAAUAAGAAGAAAAAUGAGUACACCCUCCCUGUCAUGACACAAAUUUUCUUGCUGUAUUUUCUCUGACCAUCCCCAUCACAGCCUAGGUCAAUCUUAUUCACUGGAACUUUCCAAACAUAAUCUCGACGAACCCAUUUGUGAUUUGGGAAAAAAGAAAUUCAGAAUCUUUGAUCUUAUCUUGAAACCACUUGCCUUAACUAAUGUGAUUUUGGUUUACCUGCUCAAACAUUGUCCGUCCAUUCAUCUAAUACUAAUUCUUGUGUUCUGCUCCAAUAAUUUGUUGCAAAAUCGUGAUUCUUGGAAGGAUCGUUUCUGAUCUCAUUUCUUCUUUUGUUUCUUUUCCGAAUUGUAUUUGGGGUCAUUGUCAUACAUUGGUACCUUCUCUGCAUAGGUUAAUGGUUUGAAUGCAACAUGUGAAUCCUGAGGCUGGUUUUAAGGGGGAAGAUCUUGAUGGGUUGUGAAAGAAGAACCUCGCACAUCAUCUACACCAUCUUCUUUGUCUGGUUUUUGUUGUUUUCCAGGGUUCAUGGGUCAAGAAGCCAUGAUCCUGAGUCCUUAGAAGCAUCGAUUCACAAUUACGCAAUGGAAGCAUUAGUAAAGCGACGUACAGGUACUCUGUUAAAUGUUUCUCUGCCUGCAAAUUUCUCUGGCAUACAAGCCUCAGUUGUUAGAUUAAGAAGCAGUAGUUUGUGGGAAAAAGGAGUCAAUUUUACUUCCUUCUAUAUUCCACCAAGGGUUAUUCCAUUCCCAUUUGGCAGGAGAGUUGCUAUUGUAUAUCAUAACUUGGGGAAUUGGUCUUCUUAUUACUACGAAGUCCCUAAUUAUUCUUUAGUUGCUCCUGUUAUUGGUUUCGUGGCUUAUGAUGCUUCAAAUUUAAGUGCAUUAGGCAAUGAAACGCUCAAAUUCAGCGCCCUGGGUUCACCCAUUGUAGUCAGUUUUCCCAAUACUGGGAUUGGGGCAUUAAAAAAUGGCAAUGCAGAACUGAAAUGUGUCAAAUUUAAUGACGGUGGUUUGGUCCAGUUCAGAAACUUAACUGAGGGAAGAUGCCUUACACAAGGCGAUGGCCAUUUUUCCAUUGCUAUUCCUUCUUCAGAAAGCAAGAAAAAAAAGAGUUGGGCUUGGCGGGUGAUAGGAUUUGCAGCUGGAUUUAUAGGACUGGUUUUGGUGGUGGUGAUUAUGAUCACAGCCUAUAAACUAGUGAGGAGUAAGAAAAUUAGAGAAAUGGAAGGAGAAUCAGAAAAAGGGGUGGCUUUUGACACAAAAUGGAUUGGGAGGAGUAAAAUGCCUUCUGCUUCAAUGGUUAGGACCCAGCCAGCCCUUGAGCACGGUGACAUUCCUUGAGUUGCAUUUCAGUUUCUUUGUCCAUGUUCUUUUGUUCUCCCUUUAUCCAAUUAUUAUUAUUAUUAUUA